rnacentral:rRNA from 1 species
CCUACGGGAGGCAGCAGUGAGGAAUAUUGGUCAAUGGCCGUAAGGCUGAACCAGCCAAGUCGCGUGAAGGAAGAAGGAUCUCUGGUUUGUAAACUUCUUUUAUAGGGGAAUAAAGGUAUCCACGUGUGGAUAUUUGCAUGUACCCUAUGAAUAAGCAUCGGCUAACUCCGUUCCAGCAGCCGCGGUAAUACGGAGGAUGCGCGCGUUAUCCGGAUUUAUUGGGUUUAAAGGGUGCGUAGGUUGUUUUUUAAGUCAGCGGUGAAAGUUUGUGGCUCAACCAUAAGAUUGCCGUUGAAACUGGAAGACGUGAGUGUGUGUGAGGUAGGCGGAAUGCGUGGUGUAGCGGUGAAAUGCAUAGAUAUCACGCAGAACUCCGAUUGCGAAGGCAGCUUACUAAGCCAUAACUGACACUGAAGCACGAAAGCGUGGGGAUCAAACAGGAUUAGAUACCCUUGUAGUC